AUACGGAGGGGGUUAGCGUUGUUCGGAAUUACAGGGCGUAAAGCGUACGUAGGCGGAUUAGUAAGUUAGGGAUGAAAUCCCGAGGCUCAACCUCGGAACUGCCUCUAAAACUGCUAGUCUUGAGUUCGAGAGAGGUGAGUGGAAUUCCUAGUGUAGAGGUGAAAUUCGUAGAUAUUAGGAGGAACACCAGUGGCGAAGGCGGCUCACUGGCUCGAUACUGACGCUGAGGUACGAAAGUGUGGGGAGCAAACAGGAUUAGAAACCCUUGUAGUCC
rnacentral:rRNA from 1 species